rnacentral:rRNA from 1 species
AGAGUUUGAUCCUGGCUCAGAUUGAACGCUGGCGGUAUGCUUAACACAUGCAAGUCGAACGGAAACGAUACUAGCUUGCUAGUAGGCGUCGAGUGGCGGACGGGUGAGUAACGCGUAGGAAUCUGCCUGAUAGUGGGGGAUAGCCCGAAGAAAUUCGGAUUAAUACCGCAUAAUCUAUUCGUAGUAAAGUGGGGGACUUUCGAGCCUCACGCUAUCAGAUGAGCCUGCGUAAGAUUAGCUAGUUGGUAGGGUAAAAGCCUACCAAGGCUACGAUCUUUAGCUGGUCUGAGAGGAUGAUCAGCCACAUCGGGACUGAGACACGGCCCGAACUCCUACGGGAGGCAGCAGUGGGGAAUAUUGGACAAUGGGGGCAACCCUGAUCCAGCAAUACCGCGUGUGUGAAGAAGGCCUGAGGGUUGUAAAGCACUUUCAAUUGUGAAGAAAAGUUAACGGUUAAUAACCGUUAGCCUUGACGUUAACUUUAGAAGAAGCACCGGCUAACUCCGUGCCAGCAGCCGCGGUAAUACGGAGGGUGCAAGCGUUAAUCGGAAUUACUGGGCGUAAAGCGUGCGUAGGCGGUUUAUUAAGUCAGAUGUGAAAGCCCCGGGCUUAACCUGGGAACUGCAUUUGAAACUGGUCAACUAGAGUAUGGUAGAGGAAAGUGGAAUUUCUGGUGUAGCGGUGAAAUGCGUAGAUAUCAGAAGGAACAUCAAUGGCGAAGGCAGCUUUCUGGACCAAUACUGACGCUGAGGUACGAAAGCGUGGGUAGCAAACAGGAUUAGAUACCCUGGUAGUCCACGCCGUAAACGAUGAUAACUAGCCGUUGGGGGGAUUUACCCUUUAGUGGCGAAGCUAACGCGUUAAGUUAUCCGCCUGGGGAGUACGGCCGCAAGGUUAAAACUCAAAGGAAUUGACGGGGACCCGCACAAGCGGUGGAGCAUGUGGUUUAAUUCGAUGCAACGCGAAGAACCUUACCUGGUCUUGACAUCCUGCGAACUUUCUAGAAAUAGAUUGGUGCCUUCGGGAACGCAGUGACAGGUGCUGCAUGGCUGUCGUCAGCUCGUGUCGUGAGAUGUUGGGUUAAGUCCCGUAACGAGCGCAACCCCUAUCCUUAUUUGCCAGCACGUCAUGGUGGGAACUAUAAGGAGACUGCCGGUGAUAAACCGGAGGAAGGCGGGGACGACGUCAAGUCAUCAUGGCCCUUACGACCAGGGCUACACACGUGCUACAAUGGGAAGGACAAAGAGUCGCGAAGCCGCGAGGUGUAGCUAAUCUCAGAAACCUUUUCGUAGUCCGGAUUGGAGUCUGCAACUCGACUCCAUGAAGUCGGAAUCGCUAGUAAUCGUAGAUCAGAAUGCUACGGUGAAUACGUUCCCGGGUCUUGUACACACCGCCCGUCAUACCAUGGGAGUGGGUUGCACCAGAAGUGGCUAGUCUAACUUAGUGAGGACGGUCACCACGGUGUGAUUCAUGACUGGGGUAAAGUCGUAACAAGGUAACC